GGGUAUAACACGUGGGUGAUCUGCCCUGCACUCUGGGAUAAGCCUGGGAAACUGGGUCUAAUACCGGAUAGGACCACACACUUCAUGGUGAGUGGUGCAAAGCUUUUGCGGUGUGGGAUGAGCCCGCGGCCUAUCAGCUUGUUGGUGGGGUAAUGGCCCACCAAGGCGACGACGGGUAGCCGGCCUGAGAGGGUGACCGGCCACACUGGGACUGAGAUACGGCCCAGACUCCUACGGGAGGCAGCAGUGGGGAAUAUUGCACAAUGGGCGCAAGCCUGAUGCAGCGACGCCGCGUGAGGGAUGACGGCCUUCGGGUUGUAAACCUCUUUCAGUAGGGACGAAGCGAAAGUGACGGUACCUACAGAAGAAGGACCGGCCAACUACGUGCCAGCAGCCGCGGUAAUACGUAGGGUCCGAGCGUUGUCCGGAAUUACUGGGCGUAAAGAGCUCGUAGGUGGUUUGUCGCGUUGUUCGUGAAAACUCACAGCUUAACUGUGGGCGUGCGGGCGAUACGGGCAGACUAGAGUACUGCAGGGGAGACUGGAAUUCCUGGUGUAGCGGUGGAAUGCGCAGAUAUCAGGAGGAACACCGGUGGCGAAGGCGGGUCUCUGGGCAGUAACUGACGCUGAGGAGCGAAAGCGUGGGUAGCGAACAGGAUUAGAUACCCUGGUAGUCCACGCCGUAAACGGUGGGUACUAGGUGUGGGUUUCCUUCCUUGGGAUCCGUGCCGUAGCUAACGCAUUAAGUACCCCGCCUGGGGAGUACGGUCGCAAGACUAAAACUCAAAGGAAUUGACGGGGGCCCGCACAAGCGGCGGAGCAUGUGGAUUAAUUCGAUGCAACGCGAAGAACCUUACCUGGGUUGACAUGCACAGACGACCUAGAGUACGG
rnacentral:rRNA from 1 species